rnacentral:misc_RNA from 1 species
CAACCUUUCUGCCAUCUUUCUCUCUGCGCGCACAGGCAACCACCUUCUCCGCAGCCACGCCAGUGUCGCCUUUCUCCGCCUCUCAUUUUCCUCGGUCGUCUCUGCUACAUCUGACGGCCCCACGGUAGGGCGUUUUUGUUUGCGCUCUCCUCGCUUGGCUUUCUUCUUUAGAUUUUACAUCCGCCGUCUGCCGACGCCCACCUCCUCCUCCCUCCCCUAUUCUGCCCUUCUCCGCUUUCCUUAUCUCCUCGUACCCUACCAUUCUCACCAUGUCCAAAGCCGUGCAGUUUUCUGUGCUGAAGCAGGGCUCCCUAGAGCCGGGCAGCUGGACGCAGCGCGUCCUGACGAUCGACACGAAGAGCGACACGGUGACCAUCAGCCGCAAGCAUCACCCGGAGCACGUCUUUUACCACUCCCUGGAGGUGGCGCAUGUGCAGAUGUGGCCGCGGUACCGGGCAAGCGAGAUCAGCGGCCAUUUCAACUCCCUCAAAGCGAAGAUGACGUUGCGCAUCUUCGGAAUGCAGGUGCCCGUGCCGAAGAUGUCCGUGGAGGCGGUCACCGCCGCGGAUGUGGCGGAGAUGAUUCGUGUGCCAAGCGUCCCCUCAAGCAUCUCCCUGGAUGCGUCGCUGAACAUUGAGCGCCCGCCGGUGGCAGCGGCGACGCUUUCCCAGAAGCAGAAGGAGCGUCAUCCUGCAACGGCGACAAGCGCAAACGACGACCUGUGCGACAGCUGGAUGAUCCGCUUCACCUCGAUCGACUCAUAUGAGCUCGCAGUGAUGCUUCUCCGCAACAUGCGGAACAAGGAGGGCAAGCGCAAGCGCUUGUUCGGCGACCACGUUCUCCAGGACCUCGAGUGCGUGAAGAAGGCGUGGGAUGAGGAGACCAAAGGCGCAAAGUCCACCGGCGGUGCUCUCAGACCCGGAAGCUAACCGCGAAGCGAAACUUCCAGUAUGUGUGCGUCGCGCAGCAUGGCUAUGCCUAUACACUCUCUUUGGGUGGUGUGUGCACGUCGGCGGGAAGCGACCGCGACUUGCCAUGCGUCUUGCGCGGUGUUCGUCUCAGUUUCAGUCGGCGUAUGGCGGAGGCGCCUCCACUCCUCCUUCGCAGCAGCAUAGCGUGUCGCUCUUGCAGUCCCCUCUCACAGUGCUCUGACCCAUGUCGUUGCCGUUUGCCUCAUCACCACGAUGUUUGCCGAAAAGAUCUCUGCAACCGCAGCUUUCCUUCAAGAUUGCGCACUAGUGUUGUAGCGCCUUCGGCUGCUUCUCUAUGCUGUAGCUCACCCUCUCCAACCGCCAUCAUUGCCUCUUUCCUUUUCGGUGCUUGCGCCCUGCAGAGCGCGCCUCGAUACUGAUUUCUUGUGAAACGUGUCACCGCAGGUGCAGAAAGCAUACUCUGGCUGCUACUGCCACGUGUGCUGCUGCCCUCCUCUUCGUCCCCAUUCGCGCUGCUGUACGGCGAUUCACUUUGUGCGUCUCAUCUGCUUUUCAUUGUUGUUUCCCCUCAUGUCGCGUGCCUACACCUCUCUGCGAAGGACGCGGUGGUGAUGAUUGUUUUGCCGUCUCCUUGUAGGAUGGCGGAGAGUGGCGCGUUCCUUGCCAUCGCACAGUGCACGCGGCAUCCUCUCCUCGUUAUCCCCUCAUCCUACUCAUGUUCUGUGCCGAACCUUCUCAUUACGUCCCCAACGCUCCCUUUCACGUGGCGGUGCCUUUCGUUUUCGUUUGUACAGUGCGCUCUGCGCGUCCCCCGGCGCACUCGUGUGUCGGUGAAACAUCGGUGGUGCUUACUUGUCACGUGAUCGCAGAUGUGUACGCGCGCGGGCGUCGCAGUGAUGAUUAUGUCUGUCUUCGCUUUUCCAGCCUUUGUGUCUUCGUUACUCGGCUCGACUCUGGGCACUGUGUUCCCAUGCCCCUCCUCCUUUUUCUCCUUUGUGUGUUUCAUUGGUGCACAGCUGUGCGGCGAUGCCAUUGCGUCCGUCCGUGGCAUAUUCUGCCCCUUCCCUCCCUUUACAGGGACACAUAUACAUAUAUACGCCUUCAUCUCGGUACAUGUAGUCCUUCGGUGCACAUCUUCUGCCCCUCCCCCCAUCCUUCUUCUCUUCCGACAUUGCACUCCGUCUUCAG